UUUCGGGAAGUCAGCAACAGGAUAAUGGGUGUGAUGGUUAUAAUGUCGAUGCUUGAUGACGUGGCUCAGUGUGUAGUUAAGAAUAUUCUACAAGGUUCAUAUAUCAUUCAGACUUUCAUCGGUUUGUGAGCGCGCCUGUACGUACGUAUGUGCACGUGGGUGUGUGCCUAUGCUUGCAUAUAUAUGUGUGUGUAAAAGUGAAAGGAGAUGGAUAUGUUUUCAUACCUUCAAACUCACGAGAUACAGUACAGGACACCCGUGUGAUCUCAUUAUGAUGUCAGCAGGUACCAAGCAGUCAUGUCAACAGAAGGUAGUGCUUCCUCCUCUGCGACCAAUACCCUUCCACCUCCACCAGGUACCCCGACUGUUGCCUUGUGCUCCACUCACUGGAGGCCACCUCCUCCCUUCCAUCUCUUGUUUACACCAGCCCACGCGCACAUCUUCGUCAAAUGAGAGCCAAGUCCGGUGUGGCGUGCUCUCAUUUCCGCCCACAGAGCUUCAAUUUGUGUUCCUCCGCCAGUGAGCUGCAGUCAAAUAAUGGCCUUGACCAUAGCAGCCAGGCUGCCAGCAAACAACACAAACACCUCCACAACUUAUUCGCCAAGGACGAGCGGGACGCAGUGACCGGCCUUGGAACAUCGGCUUCAGAUGCUUGUGACGAGAAUGAAGGAAACAUUUCGCAUCUCUAUCCGAGAAAACCGUAUCCACUUCAACGGUUCGUUAGCAAGUCAGACAGAAUUGUCCUUCCCUGGACGAAGGGUCCUCCCGAUGCUCCGGUGAAGAAUGGCGCAAUGGACGUUGAUUUUCGUCGCUUGUCGAUGACUUCAUCCUCGCACCAGACAGAGCCCGAGACAUGUCCACCAUGUUCAGAGAAGAACACUUCCCAAUGACCUGACCCAAGCAUCUUAUUAAUUAAUCCAGAUUAGGACUCCGCUGUCCAGACCAGAGCGGCGAUUGGUAGAGUAAUACUCUACACUUUGUCUAGAGAGUGGACUUGCACACCUCCUGGCAAGUCCUGUUGGAGCAGUCACUACACCAAUCCCCUUGUCUGGUGAUAGCUGACAUCCUCGCAGACGAGGCUUGUCUUCAACCAGUCUAGAAAAUCUGUCUUAACGACCAGUAUCCUCCAAGAGCUUGAUGGCGAAACGUUGAGUCGAGGUCCAAGACUCAGUUAAAUCAGCGAUUUCAGAACCUCCGUGGCAUCCGACUGGUCAUUGACACUCACAUCCUCGCUCAGCCAUCCACGUAACCUAGCGACAGCCAAUCACGGAUCACACCUAAGUACAAGACAAUCAAAGUUGUCCAGCCUUUAAUGGCCAUAGUUAUCUGGGGUCACUUAGUGAGCCUGCCUAAGCCACCGGUCCUCUGAUCUGCGUCGUCUCUUAAUUACUAGAGUGCGGGGAAGCCGCGGACCUGUCACGUGCCAAAUGAUGUACACUGAUGGAUGCGAAACGCCCGUAGGUCACUUCCUGGGAAUGGCAACCGUUGGACUAAGAAUUAUCAAAUCAUCCCCCAUCCCACGCUCUCAUCUUUUAUCUAGUAUUGGCCAUCAGGAUCGACUUCCCUUCAUUUAGAAUUGGCUUGUCUGAUCAUUUACAGACUUACAAGGACCCUAACUUACACAACGGUGGUUUUCUCCAAGAAGUCCGGUUUCUUCCACCCGGGGUGUGUGUGUGUCUUCCUGUAUAUAAACUGCUUUAAGCAUAGUUUCGCAGAAAUAGCACUAUAGCAAAAUUAAUUGUUACUGUUAAAGCCAAAACAGAAUGAGCAAAAGAAAACACCAACGUGUUAUUUGUUAUUAUGUUAUUUGAGUAAAGAUGUAAACAUCUAUGCGAGUAAACGUUUAGUAAACAUAUUUAGUUCUUGUAUUGAAUUCUAUUUUGUCCAGACCUCAUUGCUACAUUUGACUUCACUAAGUCCGCUGAAUUCACACUAACCAUUUCAGCAUCGAUGACAAUGGCAGUGCUCCUCUCACCCCCCCCCCCCCCCACUUGUCCAGAAUACCGGCACACAAUACUGUUUCUAUUUGAAAAAAAUUCUUCGUUGAUACCUAACUGUAUAUCCUGUAUGUGGGUGUUCUGGCAGUGACACUCCUCUAGACAAUAGAUAAUGAAAUGUC